rnacentral:rRNA from 1 species
UUAGUAGCGGCGAGUGAAGCGGCAAAAGCUCAAAUUUGAAAUCUGGCUCUUUCAGAGUCCGAGUUGUAAUUUGAAGAAGGUAUCUUUGGGUCUGGCUCUUGUCUAUGUUUCUUGGAACAGAACGUCACAGAGGGUGAGAAUCCCGUGCGAUGAGAUGAUCCAGGCCUAUGUAAAGUUCCUUCGAAGAGUCGAGUUGUUUGGGAAUGCAGCUCUAAGUGGGUGGUAAAUUCCAUCUAAAGCUAAAUAUUGGCGAGAGACCGAUAGCGAACAAGUACAGUGAUGGAAAGAUGAAAAGAACUUUGAAAAGAGAGUGAAAAAGUACGUGAAAUUGUUGAAAGGGAAGGGCUUGAGAUCAGACUUGGUAUUUUGUAUGUUACUUCUUCGGGGGUGGCCUCUACAGUUUAUCGGGCCAGCAUCAGUUUGGGCGGUAGGAGAAUUGCGUUGGAAUGUGGCACGGCUUCGGUUGUGUGUUAUAGCCUUCGUCGAUACUGCCAGCCUAGACUGAGGACUGCGGUUUAUACCUAGGAUGUUGGCAUAAUGAUCUUAAGUCGCCCGUCUUGAAACACGGACCAAGGAGUCUAACGUCUAUGCGAGUGUUUGGGUGUAAAACCCGUACGCGUAAUGAAAGUGAACGUAGGUGGGGGCCCGUAUGGGUGCACCAUCGACCGAUCCUGAUGUCUUCGGAUGGAUUUGAGUAAGAGCAUAGCUGUUGGGACCCGAAAGAUGGUGAACUAUGCCUGAAUAGGGUGAAGCCAGAGGAAACUCUGGUGGAGGCUCGUAGCGGUUCUGACGUGCAAAUCGAUCGUCGAAUUUGGGUAUAGG